CACUGGAUCCAGAUGGUUCUGGAGGAGAAGACACCAAGAAUAUGGAUUUACAAGAUGGUUGCUUCGGAGUUGGGAGUGGGAAUAAAGAAGCUAACAAUAUUAUUGCCAAAAAAAGAAACAAAGAAAAUACAGUCAUUAAAUCAUUUAAAAGAAAAUUCCUAGAAGAGAACAAAAGGAAAUUCAGAUGGAAACAGACAAUCAGGGCAGCUUUAAAAGUAAUAGAGAAUUUAUUUUGUAAUUUUUUAAAAGGCAUUGUUGUAUGUUUGGACAUGUAUACUUAUAUUGUAUUUAAUUUA